AUCAGAGUCACUUUUCCCACUGUACUUCUGGCUUUUGUGUUUGAUCUGAACGAUCAGGAAGUGUGUGAACAUCUGCGUCAGGGUUUUGGGAGUUUCUCCACCCUCAGCUUCACUCAGCAUUCUCUCUAGAACAGUGGCUGUAAUCCAGCAGAAGACCGGUAUGUGGCACAUGAUGUAGAGGCUUCUUGAAGACCUGAUGUGUGUGAAGACUUUUUUGGCCAGGUCCUCAUCCCUGAUCCUCUUCUUGAAGUACUCCUCUUUCUGAGGGUCACUGAAACCCCGCACUUCUGUUACCUGGUGAACA